rnacentral:rRNA from 1 species
GUGUUGGUGGUUAUUGUGUCGGGGGGUACGCCCGGUCCCUUUCCGAACCCGGAAGCUAAGCCCGAUUGCGCUGAUGGUACUGCACCUGGGAGGGUGUGGGAGAGUAGGUCGCCGCCAACCU